AAUGCAAGUCGAUCCGUUUCACUUCGGUGAGACGAGGCAAACGGGAGAGUAACACAUUGGUAACCUACCCUGGAGACGAGAAUAACCCUGCGAAAGCGGGGAUAAUCCUCGAUAAUAGUGAGAAACGUCAAGUUUUUUACUUAAAGCUCCGGCGCUCCGGGAGGGGCCUAUGUCCUAUCAGCUAGUUGGUAAGGUAACUGCUUACCAAGGCAACGACGGGUAGCGGGGGUGAGAGCCCUGUCCGCCUCACUGGGACUGAGACACUGCCCAGACUCCUACGGGAGGCUGCAGUCAAGAAUCUUCCUCAAUGGCCGCAAGGCUGAAGGAGCGACGCCGCGUGCAUGAUGAAGCCCUUCGGGGUGUAAAAUGCUUUUAACCGGGAUGAAUUUUGACAGUACCGGUUGAAUAAGGGGCUGCCAAUCUCGUGCCAGCAGCAGCGGUAAUACGAGAGCCCCAAGCGUUAUCCGGAUUUACUGGGCGUAAAGGGUCCGUAGGCGGUUUGCCACAUCUUUUGGUAAAUCCUUUGGCUCAACCAAAGGACUCCAGAGGAAAUGGGUAAACUAGAGGCCGGAAGAGGCAAGCGGAAUUGCCGGUGUAGGGGUUAAAUCCGUUAAGAUCGGCAAGAACACCAAAUGCGAAGGCAGCUUGCUAGGACGGUCCUGACGCUAAGGGACUAAAGCGUGGGGAGCGAAGGGGAUUAGAUACCCCCGUAGUCCACGCCCUAAACGUUGGAUGCUAGACAUUGGGAGUCAUCGACCCUC
rnacentral:rRNA from 1 species